rnacentral:rRNA from 1 species
AACGCGAAGAACCUUACCUGGGCUUGACAUGUGCCUGACCGGCGUGGAAACACGCCUUCCCUUCGGGGCAGGUUCACAGGUGGUGCAUGGCUGUCGUCAGCUCGUGUCGUGAGAUGUUGGGUUAAGUCCCGCAACGAGCGCAACCCCCGUCGCAUGUUGCCAGCAUUUAGUUGGGGACUCAUGCGAGACUGCCGGUGACAAACCGGAGGAAGGUGGGGAUGACGUCAAGUCCUCAUGCCCCUUAUGUCCAGGGCUACACACGUGCUACAUUGGCGCGUACAGAGGGCUGCGAUACCGCGAGGUGGAGCGAAUCCCUUAAAGCGCGUCUCGGUUCGGAUUGCAGGCUGAAACUCGCCUGCAUGAAGGCGGAGUUGCUAGUAAUCGCGGAUCAGCAUUGCCGCGGUGAAUACGUUCCCGGGCCUUGUA